CGCGUGGGGGACGAAGGUUUUUGGAUCGUAAACCCCUUUUGUCAAGGAAGAAGCUCUGACGGUACUUGACGAAUAAGCCUCGACNUAACUCCGUGCCAGCAGCCGCGGUAAUACGGAGGAGGCAAGCGUUAUCCGGAAUGAUUGGGCGUAAAGCGUCUGUAGGUGGCCAGCUAAGUCUGCUGUUAAAGAUCACAGCUCAACUGUGGGAAGGCAGUGGAAACUGGCAAGCUAGAGGUUGGUAGGGGUAAAGGGAAUUCCCGGUGUAGCGGUGUAAUGCGUAGAUAUCGGGAAGAACACCGGUGGCGAAAGCGCUUUACUGGGCCAGACCUGACACUGAAGGACGAAAGCUAGGGGAGCGAAAGGGAUUAGAUACCCCUGUAGUC
rnacentral:rRNA from 1 species